rnacentral:rRNA from 1 species
GAUUGAACGCUGGCGGCAGGCCUAAACAUGCAUCGUGCGGUAACAGAAAUCAGCUUGCUGAUUUGCUGACGAGCGGCGGACGGGUGAGUAAUGUGUGGGAAACCGCCUGAUGGAGGGGGAUAACUACUGGAACACGGUAGCUAAUACCGCAUAAUGUCGCAAGACCAAAGAGGGGGACCUUCGGGCCUCUUGCCAUCGGAUGUGCCCAGAUGGGAUUAGCUUGUAGGUGAGGUAACGGCUCACCUAGGCGACGAUCCCUAGCUGGUCUGAGAGGAUGACCAGCCACACUGGAACUGAGACACGGUCCAGACUCCUACGGGAGGCAGCAGUGGGGAAUAUUGCACAAUGGGCGCAAGCCUGAUGCAGCCAUGCCGCGUGUAUGAAGAAGGCCUUCGGGUUGUAAAGUACUUUCAGCGGGGAGGAAGGUGUUGUGGUUAAUAACCACAGCAAUGACGUACCGCAGAA